rnacentral:rRNA from 1 species
GACGAACGCUGGCGGCGUGCUUAACACAUGCAAGUCGAACGAUGAACCCGGAGCUUGCUCCGGUGGAUUAGUGGCGAACGGGUGAGUAACACGUGAGUAACCUGCCCUUGACUCUGGGAUAACUGCGGGAAACUGUAGCUAAUACCGGAUACGACCCUCGGCGGCAUCGCCAGGGGGUGGAAAGAAUUUCGGUCAAGGAUGGACUCGCGGCCUAUGAGCUAGUUGGUGAGGUAACGGCUCACCCAGGCGACGACGGGUAGCCGGCCUGAGAGGGUGACCGGCCACACGGGGACUGAGACACGGGCCAGACUCCUACGGGAGGCAGCAGGGGGGGAUAUUGCACAAUGGGCGCAAGCCUGAUGCAGCAACGCCGCGUGAGGGAUGACGGCCUUCGGGUUGUAAACCUCUUUUAGUAGGGAAGAAGCGAAAGUGACGGUACCUGCAGAAAAAGCACCGGCUAACUACGUGCCAGCCGCCGCAGUAA